rnacentral:misc_RNA from 1 species
GAUGAAGAACGUAGCGAAAUGCGAUACGUAAUGUGAAUUGCAGAAUUCAGUGAAUCAUCGAGUCUUUGAACGCACAUUGUGCCCCCUGGUAUUCCGGGGGGCAUGCCUGUCCGAGCGUCAUUGCUGCCCUCAAGCACGGCUUGUGUGUUGGGCCUCCGCCCCCCGGCUCCCGGGGGGCGGGCCCGAAAGGCAGCGGCGGCACCGCGUCCGGUCCUCGAGCGUAUGGGGCUUCGUCACCCGCUCCGUAGGCCCGGCCGGCGCCCGCCGGCGACCCCCCUCAAUCUUUCCAGGUUGACCUCGGAUCAGGUAGGGAUACCCGCUGAACUUAAGCAUAUCAAUAAGCGGAGGA